CAGGAAUGGCAGACCAAGGAGCUGCUCUCACUUAUGACUCCACUGUCUGAUGAAGAAACAAAGCCGCUUGAUGACAAUGGAUCCUCCUCAAGAGGUCAAAGGGCAGACAAACCUCUCAGGCAGUAACAUCCCAGUCUGCUUCAGUGGCCCAGAAAUCAGGAGCAAACCCACACUCAGAGAUGGAUAGUGAUGAUUCGCUCACCCCCUGCCAUGUCAGCUGACCAGGAAUGAGGCAAGCCGCCUCGUUACCCCCGAGACUGUCUGGAGGCAUUCCUCUCCUCUGAGGACCCAGCGAGGGUGGAGCACAGUGAGACACUUCUACAGCCAGAGAGUCAAGAAAUGGAACAGCAAGGCCACAGAACAUGACAUACGCAGAGCUGUGGGAGACCACCUGAAGCAUUCCCCUGGUAGAGCCAGAGGAUGGGGUUUACCACACCAACACCAAACGUCUUCAACAGGCAUGAAAAGUGGGAUUGAUCUGUUUGAUCCAUUUUAUUUGUUUGAGUUUUCAUUAGUUGAAUCCUUUGACUUAUUGUUGAUUUAAAAUUAAAAUAAAAUACAAAAACGCACUGGAUUGGUUCAAAUGUGAUACUAAACUUACAUUAUUUUGACACAGAGGAAGAUAUACUGAAUUUAUACUGUUUUUGAUUAUAUGAUGGACCAAAAUAUAUGUUACUUUAGCACAUGUUUGUUCAUUAAUUUUGCAAGAAUGUUGAUUGGUCGGUCAUUGGGUUCAUUAGUUUAGCAACAUAUUGAUGCCAUUGAUUAAAAGAGAAAGAAUAUGAUGUAAUAUUCAACGCUUGUAUUAGUCCAUUGUUUGUAAAAAAUA